CAUUUAUUAGAAUAAAAACCAAUCGGGCUUCGGCUCGUAAUUUGGUGAAUCUGAAUAACUUUGCCAAUCGCACAGUCCUAGUACUGGCGAUGUAUCUUUCAAGUGUCUGCCUUAUCAACUUUCGAUGGUACGCUAUACGCCUACCAUGGUAGUAACGGGUAACGGAGAAUAAGGGUUCGACUCCGGAGAGGGAGCCUGAGAAACGGCUACCACAUCCAAGGAAGGCAGCAGGCGCGCAAAUUACCCACUUCCAGAACGGAGAGGUAGUGACGAAAAAUAACGAGACAGUCCUCUUCGAGGUCUGUCAUCGGAAUGGGUACAAUUUAAAUCCUUUAACGAGGAUCUAUUGGAGGGCAAGUCUGGUGCCAGCAGCCGCGGUAAUUCCAGCU
rnacentral:rRNA from 1 species